rnacentral:guide_RNA from 1 species
AGACAACAAGUGCUUAUUACGAUAGAUACUGAUGUAAUUUAAUUA